rnacentral:rRNA from 1 species
UACGUAGGGGGCGAGCGUUGUCCGGAUUUACUGGGCGUAAAGCGCGCGUAGGCGGAAGUGUAAGUGUGGCCUGAAAGCCCCCGGCUCAACCGGGGAGGGUGGCUGCAAACUGCGCUUCUUGAGGGCGAUAGAGGAGUGUGGAAUUCCUGGUGUAGCGGUGAAAUGCGUAGAGAUCAGGAGGAACACCCGUGGCGAAGGCGGCACUCUGGGUCGGUCCUGACGCUGAGGCGCGAAAGCGUGGGGAGCGAACGGG